UACGUAGGGUGCAAGCGUUGUCCGGAAUUAUUGGGCGUAAAGGGCUCGUAGGCGGUCCAUCACGUCGGGAGUGAAAAGCUGGGGCUUAACCCCAGUCCUGCUUCCGAUACGGGUGGACUAGAGGUAGGUAGGGGAGAACGGAAUUCCUGGUGUAGCGGUGAAAUGCGCAGAUAUCAGGAAGAACACCCGUGGCGAAGGCGGCUCUCUGGGACGGUACUGACGCUGAGACACGAAAGCGUGGGGAGCAAACGGG
rnacentral:rRNA from 1 species